rnacentral:rRNA from 1 species
AACAAACGCUGGCGGCGUGCCUAAUACAUGCAAGUCGAACGAAGAAAGCCCUUCGGGGCAAGUAAGAGUGGCGCACGGGUGAGUAACGCGUGGAUAAUCUGCCCUCGAGUGGGGAACAACUUACCGAAAGGUAGGCUAAUACCGCAUAAGACCACAGGAGCUGCGGCUUCAGGGGUCAAAGAUUUAUCGCUUGAGGAUGAGUCCGCGUAGGAUUAGCUUGUUGGUGAGGUAAAAGCUCACCAAGGCGACGAUCUUUAGCUGGUUUGAGAGGAUGAUCAGCCACACUGGAACUGAGACACGGUCCAGACUCCUACGGGAGGCAGCAGUAGGGAAUAUUGCGCAAUGGGGGAAACCCUGACGCAGCAACGCCGCGUGUGUGAUGAAGGCUUUAGGGUCGUAAAGCACUGUCGUAAGGGAAUAAUUUUGAAGGUACCUUACAAGAAAGGACCGGCUAACUCCG